rnacentral:rRNA from 1 species
GACGGACGCUGGCGGCGUGCUUAACACAUGCAAGUCGAACGGAAAGGCCCCAGCUUGCUGGGGUACUAGAGUGGCGAACGGGUGAGUAACACGUGGGUGAUCUGCCCUGCACUCUGGGAUAAGCCUGGGAAACUGGGUCUAAUACCGGAUAGGACCGUGCUUUAGUGUGUGCGGUGGAAAGUUUUUCGGUGCAGGAUGAGCCCGCGGCCUAUCAGCUUGUUGGUGGGGUAAUGGCCUACCAAGGCGGCGACGGGUAGCCGGCCUGAGAGGGUGUACGGCCACAUUGGGACUGAGACACGGCCCAGACUCCUACGGGAGGCAGCAGUGGGGAAUAUUGCACAAUGGGCGCAAGCCUGAUGCAGCGACGCCGCGUGGGGGAUGACGGCCUUCGGGUUGUAAACCCCUUUCGGCAGGGACGAAGCUUUUGUGACGGUACCUGCAUAAGAAGCACCGGCUAACUACGUG